AGUCCUAGCGCCUGGCCUGCGCGCCGCUGCCCGCGCCACAGGUCCUUUUGGAAUAAAUCAUGGGAUUGAGCUUCAUUCAGAUGUGGUGGAAUAUGCCAAGGAAAAACUGGAGAGCUUCAUCAAAAAUAGUGAUAGCUUUGAUAAUCAGCUCCUAGACCUAGACUAUCCGUCUAAGAGGGAAGCUACAGGGCAAGGCUAGGUCACCCUGAUCUCCUAGCAGCUUAUCAAAAGAAUUAUAUGGGCAAGUUGGCAAGGUCCCUGCUGUGAACGAAAUCAUCUGAUGAAGAUAUUCCAACAUGCACCUAUAAAGAAAACCACUGCUAAGAUUUGAGUUCUGUGAACCUGCAUUUGUUGUUGGUAAUUGCCUCCAGAUAGCAUCUGACAGUCAUCAGUAUGAUCGAAUUUAUUGUGGAGCUGGAGUCCAGAAAGACCAUGAAAACUACAUGAAAAUAUUACUAAAAGUUGGAGGCAUAUUAGUCAUGCCUAUAGAGGAUCAGUUAACACAGAUUAUGCGAACUGGACAGAACACUUGGGAAAGUAAAAAUAUCCUUGCUGUUUCAUUUGCUCCACUUGUGCAACCAAGUAAGAAUGAUAAUGGCAAACCAGAUUCUGUGGGACUCCCUCCCUGUGCUGUCAGGAAUCUACAAGACUUGGCUCGUAUUUACAUUCGACGCACACUUAGAAAUUUCAUAAAUGAUGAGAUGCAGGCCAAGGGGAUUCCUCAAAGGGCUCCACCCAAAAGGAAAAGAAAGAGAGUUAAACAGAGAAUUAACACUUACGUAUUUGUGGGUAAUCAGCUUAUUCCUCAGCCUCUAGACAGUGAAGAGGAUGAAAAAAUGGAAGAGGAUAACAAAGAAGAGGAAGAAAAAGAUCACAAUGAAGCAAUGAAGCCAGAGGAGCCACCUCAAAAUUUACUGAGAGAAAAAAUCAUGAAGCUGCCCCUCCCUGAAUCUUUAAAAGCUUACUUGACAUAUUUUAGAGACAAAUAACUUAGAUCAAGAAGAAAGAAUGCCUACUGAUAAUUCCUUUAGUCUUGAAAAUGUAGCAUUUGUUAGGAGUUAAAAGAGAGAAUUAUUUCUUUCAUCAGAGCAAAUUAUAGUGGAAAAAAAAUCACUUGUUUCUGUCAGUAACACAAAUGAUGUAUUCAGUGAAUAAAAGAAUCCCUUUUAUAAAAUCUAUUUUUCUUUAAAUCUU
rnacentral:sRNA from 1 species